UACGUAGGUGGCAAGCGUUAUCCGGAAUUAUUGGGCGUAAAGAGCGCGCAGGUGGUUGAUUAAGUCUGAUGUGAAAGCCCACGGCUUAACCGUGGAGGGUCAUUGGAAACUGCUCGACUUGAGUGCAGAAGAGGGAAGUGGAAUUCCAUGUGUAGCGGUGAAAUGCGUAGAGAUAUGGAGGAACACCAGUGGCGAAGGCGGCUUCCUGGUCUGUAACUGACACUGAGGCGCGAAAGCGUGGGGAGCAAACAGGAUUAGA
rnacentral:rRNA from 1 species